GUCUUUUUGAGUUAUUUAAAAAGUCUAACCUGCCCACUGAAUAAAUUUUAAAUGGCCGCAGUAUUUUAACUGUGCAAAGGUAGCAUAAUCAUUAGUCUUUUAAUUGAAGGCUGGUAUGAAUGGUUGGACGAAGUAUAAGCUGUUUCAUAUAAAAUUAUAUUAGAAUUUUAUUUUUUAGUUAAAAAGCUAAAAUUUUAUUAAAAGACGAGAAGACCCUAUAAAUCUUUAUAUUUAUAUGUAUAUAAAUUUUAUGGAUUUUUUUUGUUUUUAUAUAUAUAAAUAUUUUAUUGGGGCGAUAUUAAAAUUUAAUAAACUUUUAAUUAAUAUUAAAUCAUUAAUUUAUGAAUUGUUGAUCCAUUAUUAGUGAUUAUAAAAUUAAGUUACUUUAGGGAUAACAGCGUAAUUUUUUUUGAGAGUUCAUAUCGAUAAAAAAGUUUGCGACCUCGAUGUUGGAUUAAGAUAUAUUUUUAGGUGUAGCUGCUUAAAUAUUAAGUCUGUUCGACUUUUAAAUUCUUACAU
rnacentral:rRNA from 1 species